rnacentral:lncRNA from 1 species
GCAGUUUGCGUCUAAGCGCAGAUUGCGUCUAAGCACAGUUUGCGUCUAAACACAGUUUGCGUUUAAGCGCAGUUUGCGUCUAAGCGCAGUUUGCGUCUAAACGCAGAUUUACGUCUAAACGCAGUUUUACGUCUAAACGCAGAUUUACGUCUAAACGCAGUUUUAUGUCUAAACGCAGAUUUACGUCUAAACUCAGUUUACG